AGUUUUCUCAGGGAAAGGGCCAGGGUAUUGAAUCCAUAAUUUUCACUUGGUAUUACCUCCAGCCUCUAGGCAUACAAGCCACACCUAAUUGGCAUGCUUCAUGUGAAUUUUGGUAUUACUAUCUCUUGCAUGCAUGAAUUCAGUUAGUGGAGCUGCCUUAUUUUGGUAUGCUGUGCUGGCUUUAAUUCAUUCAACAAUCUUGGAGCAGAACAGAAUCUAAUUGUGACAUGAAAGUUUAUCCUAUUUCUAUCAGCGGAGUUACCCAGGUCACGUUCAGUAUGGAAGUCAUUUGGUCAUUUUAUUUGAUCACCUUCAAAUUCUGUCUCUUGCUCACUAUUGAGCCUUUUUAGCAUACAAGAUUAUUUGUUGUUGGAGUUUUCCAAAGGAAAAAAAAAAAAAAUCAUCCUAAGGCCUGAACUUGCAUGUUUUGUCUAUUGAGCACCUAAACUUUUAUUGUUCCACAUUUGGUCCUUAACAUUAAAAAAUUCUGAUUCAGGGUUUUAUGGACAAAACAUACUCAAUUGGUAAAACACAAAGUUCAGGGUCUGAAUAGACAAAAUAUACAAACUUAAGGCCCUCAUGAUGGUUCCUAUUAUUGAUGUGAACUUGAAGAACGAUGUCUUGAAACCCACAAACAGGUUUGGUUUAUAAUCCCAAGAAAGCCAAAAUCAAGUUCAAACACCAAGGAAUACCUUGACCUAUCAAUU
rnacentral:misc_RNA from 1 species